UGCUGUUACCGGUCACUUGCAUAUUCUGACUAUGUAUGUCUGGAUUAUCUUACGCUUGUUCCAGGCCAUCGAUGCCCAUAGUGGCUACGAAUUCCCAUGGAGUCUUCACCAUUUCUUGCCUUUCUGGGCUGGUGCUGAUCAUCACGACCUUCACCAUGAGAAAUUCAUUGGGAACUAUGCAAGCAGCUUCCGCUGGUGGGACUACGUCCUUGACACCGAAUAUACCCCGGAGGCCCUGAAGCGCCGAAGAGCGAAACAGGCGGAGGCCAAGAAGGCACAAUGAUCUGUCUGAACGUUAGCAUUGACGGUCUCCAUUUUUUCUUCAGUAUGGGCCUACUGCGAAAGCAUUCUCCAAGAAUGUUUUCAUUAAUCAGGGAACGAAAGUUAGGGGAUCGAAGACGAUCAGAUACCGUCGUAGUCUUAACCAUAAGGUCACCACUGCGG
rnacentral:ncRNA from 1 species